rnacentral:misc_RNA from 1 species
GAGGGAGAGAGUUCUGAGCUUCCUGUAAAGUUCAUGCAACCUAUCUUAUCAUCUUAUUAUUAUUUUUCUUUAUUUUAUUUUAGACAAUGUCUUAUAUAUAUAUGUGAGGUAAUUGCAUAAUAUUACUUUAUACAAGUGGCCUAAUGGAAGGACCAUCGUUUUAAAUAACAGCCAUUAUAUUACAUAACAACUGUUAUUUAAAGGAAUUUUAGCAUGGAUAGUGGCUGUUAUUUUUUAUUUUUAUUUUAGCUGAGAACCUUUGGAUUUUUUUUUCUUUUUUACACUGCAUUCACAUGAAAAGCAGUAGAAGAAACCUUUUUUGAGAGGCAAAAGGCUAUCUUAGCUUAUUCAUCAGCUCCUAUUCAUUUUCUCUGUAGUCUGUAGGCAUUUUGCCAUUUUCUCUCAGUUUUCUCCAAAAUCAAGUGAAAUCCUUUAUUUCUCUACAAAUUUUUGAGCUC